rnacentral:tRNA from 1 species
GGAGGGAUGGCCGAGAGGUUGAAGGCAACCUGCUUUGCAAGCGGUACAGGGAACUCGCUUCGCCGGUGAAGACCCUGCGUGGGUUCGAAUCCCACUCCCUCCG